rnacentral:tRNA from 1 species
GGGACAAUAGCUCAGUGGUAGAGUAUCUCGUUGACAUCGAGAGAGUCGAAAGUUCAAUUCUUUCUUGUCCCACCA